AACGCACCUUGCGCUCCUUGGUAUUCCUUGGAGCAUGCCUGUUUGAGUAUCAUGAAAUCUUCAAAGUAAAUCUUUUGUUCAUUCAAUUGGUUUCACUUUGGUAUUGGAGGUUUUUGCAGCUUCACACCUGCUCCUCUUUGUGUAUUAGCUGGAUCUCAGUGUUAUGCUUGGUUCCACUCAGCGUGAUAAGUUAUCCAUCGCUGAGGACACUGUAAUAGGUGGCCAAGGUAAAUGCAGAUAGAGCCGCUUCUAACCGUCCACUCAGUUUGGACAAUAAUUUUUAUGAUCUGAUCUCAAAUCAGGUAGGACUACCCGCUGAACUUAA
rnacentral:misc_RNA from 1 species